AAAAAAAGACAAGUUAGGUAUUCGACCAUUGUUGAUUGAAAUUCAAGAUCAAGAAAAGAGAAAAUCAGAUUUAGAUCGAGGGAAAACUAAAGUUGUCGACUAGCCGAUCUGUACUGGUUUUUCAUCGUCCGAGAUUUUGAAGCAAGUUACAAGCUCGGGGAUCAUCAGUAAAGUUCAUCACACUAUCCACUGUUUCUGUAUUUAUAUAGUUGAACUUGAAUUAUGGUCUGUAUAGGCUGGAACAUACUUUUGAAAUGUUG